AUGGAGAAACUUUUAUCAGUGGCAGGAAAGGAGGUUCUCAUAAAAUCUGUGGCUCAAGCUUUACCAGUUUUUUCGAUGUCUUGCUUCAGAUUACCUCGAGGCCUUUGUGGAAGCAUUACGUCACCCAUUCGUCAAUUUUGGUGGGGGAGCAAGAGAGGCAAGAGGAAACCAUAUUGGGUAGCUUGGGAUUUGAUGACCCGACCGAAAAGUUUGGGAGGACUUGGCUUUCGGGAUAUAGAAAUCUUCAACUUGGCACUUUUGUCUCGGCAAAUUUGGAGAUUAUUGAAUGAUCCCUCCUCUCUUAGUGCACAAAUCCUUAAAGCAUCAUAUUUUCCACAAUGUACAGUCCUUGAAGCUCAACUAGGUCCACAUCCUUCUCAGGUGUGGCGAUCUAUACUUGAUGGGAGAGAUAUUAUCACCCAAGGAGCUAUCCGACGUAUUGGUGAUGGAACUACCACGAACAUAUGGCAACAUAGUUGGAUCCCAAGGGACAGAAUGAUGAAGCCGGUGGCCUCCUUAGUUGCUGACCCACCGCAACUGGUUUCUGAUCUGAUCGACCACACUAGAGCUGCGUGGCGAGAGGACUUGCUUAGACAGGUGUUCAUACCCAUUGAUGUGGAGGCGAUCUUGCAAAUACCGCUCUGUACACGGCGUGUGGACGAUUUCUGGGCAUGGAAUGAUGAUCCAAGGGGGCGUUUUUCUGUACGGUCAGCUUAUAAGAUGAUUGUCAAGAUCAAGAUUGGGCGCGAGGCAUGGCUGGAGGAAAGGGAGGAUCCUUCCAACUCUGAACAUGAGAUGAGGGGGUGGAACUCGCUAUGGAACAUGUCAGUGCCACCGAAACUGCGCUUUUUCACUUGGCGAUUGGCGCAACACUCACUCCCUACGGGAGAUGUCCUAAACCAUCGUCAUAUGGCCACUACGAGUGCUUGCUCCCUAUGCGAAGGGCAGGAUAGCUGGCGGCAUUCUUUGCUGGAGUGUAAUGUGUCUAGGUGUGUGUGGGCACUUUCAGAAGCCGAGAUGGUCGAGCACAUGUGGGCAACCUCAGAACCUGACGCACGGCUGUGGCUCUUUGCCAUGAAUGACUCUCUUCCACCGGAGCAAGUUCAGUUGAUGAUUGUUACUUUAUGGGCGAUUUGGAGUGCAAGACGGAAAGCUAUACAUGAGGAUAUAUACCAGACUCCGUUUGCCACUGACAACUUCAUCAAAGCUUACUUAUCAGACAUAGAGUUUUUGAAGAAGAAGAAGGAGGAAGCACAUGGGAUAGCAGUACCACGACCCCGUACGUGGAUUCCACCACCAAUAGAUUACUACAAACUCAAUGUGGACGCGGCCGUGUCACGCCCAGGUACGUUUGGCGCAGUUGGUGUGGUUUGCAGGGAUGAGAGAGGUUUGUUCAUGGGAGCGUCAGCUCUCGUUUUCAGAGGACUGCACAACCCCCAAGUGCUAGAAGCACUAGCUGUUCGGGAGGCAUUAGCACUUUCAGAAGAUCUCUAUAUCAACCAUUUACUUGUUGCCUCCGAUUGCAAGGUGGUGGUAGAUGCAAUCAGACAGGGAAGCUCAGCAGAAUUUGGAGCCAUUGUCGAGGAAAUCAAGACUAGAGUAACUACCUUUAUUUCAUGUUCGUUUACUCAUGAGUAUAGGACCUCCAAUACGGAGGCCCAUAAUCUCGCAAAGCAUGCGUUAUCUUUAGGGUUUGGCCGACACACUUGGCUAGGACAACCCGGCGAUCUUCUUUUUGUACCUAUGAACAUUAUGAUUCAGUAA
rnacentral:rRNA from 1 species